UCUUGGCCCUGUUGCUGCUGCUGCUGCCUAGUGGGUCCCCGCCUGCGUCCUGCUGCUCGGGCUGCUCCCAGCCACUCUCGUGCUGUCCCCGCCCUGACUGCUGACUCCGCAGCCAAUGGGAGCUCCCAGCCAAUGGUGCCUGCUGCAGACCCCUGGUCCUCCCCACCUAGAAGCUGCUGCUGGAGGGGUGUGUUGCCCGAGGAGGAGGAUGAAGGAAAAAAGAAUGAAAAAAUGGAGGGAUAUAAGAGAGAAUGUUCUUUUUCUUGGCUGGGUCCCGAGGGGGGCCCCCAAAAAUGAAGCUGCACACAGGGUCCCACUAACCCACCACUGUGUGGGACAUCAGCAUUGAAUGUACAUUGGACUACCAAAUGCCAUUUCUGGAAAGUGGUUUUGAUGGCCAUUCUGUACACAUAAUAUAUUUAUCCCAAGAUGCA